GGCAGUGUGGUUUAGUGGACAGAGCACUGGAGUGGCACUCAAGAGACCUGGGUUUUAUUCCUGGCUCUGCCA
rnacentral:tRNA from 1 species